GGAGGGAAGCUUGAGGUGUGGCCAGCCUGGUCAUGGACAGGAUUGAUAGAUUGAUAACUUUUUCUCGAUUCUUUGGGUAGUGGUGCUUGGCCAUUUUUAGUUGGUGGAGCAAUUUGUCUGGCAAAUUCUGAUAGUGACCAAGACUCUGGCAUGCUUACUAGUUGCAUGACCCCUGAGUAGUCAGUGUCCCCCAACUUCUUAGAGGGACAAGCAGUGACCAGCCACCCCAGUUUGAGCAAUAACAGGUCUGUGAUUCCCUGUAGAUGUCUGGGGCUGCAUGCGUGCUAUACUGACUGGCUCAGCAUGUGCCUACCCUAUGCUGGCAGGUGAGGGUAACCUGUUGAACCUCAUUCAUAAUGGGGAUUGCGGAUUGCAAUUAUUCCCCAUGAAUGAAGAAUUCCCAGUAAGUGCAGGUUAUAAGCUUGCGUU
rnacentral:ncRNA from 1 species